UAUAUAUCUAUGCAUGAUAUGGUAGCAAAUCCAUUUACAAAGCGUACACUAAGAGAUGCAUAUUAUAGGCAUGUUAAAUCAUUAAUUGGAAAUCUUGUGACAUGUUCCUUGGUCUAAAGAUCCCAGCUUGAGCUCUAGUCAUCAUCUGGUGUCUAGGAGCUUCAGUUAUAAUGUCCUCUGUUUGCGAUCUUUCUUCCAAUUGUUCCUCUGGAAUCAUACUUUGAUUCAGGGGAGACUCUGGUUCAUGUUGCAACAAGUUCUCGCUAGUUGGAGAGUCUCUCAGCAGGUGUUGAGGUGAAGUCUCGACCGUAGGAGAGGAUGCUGAUGUUGUAGCUUCUGACAUGUCUUGGCUACUUGUGCUCCAGGAAGGAGGUAAAGUAGGUGGGAGGUUAAAGGAUGUAUUGAA
rnacentral:lncRNA from 1 species